rnacentral:tRNA from 2 species
GGAGACGUCGCAUAGCCCGGUCGAGUGCGCCUCACUGCUAACGAGGUAAGGGGUUAAACCCUUCAGGAGUUCAAAUCUCCUCGUCUCCGCC